AAGCUUGAUCAAGUGAAUCCGGUUUGUAACAACUUAAGAAAGCUUAGAGUUUCUGCUUGAUCUUAAUUCUUGAAUACUAUGUGGGCCACCUUGUCCAUCUCCAUAUUGAAGAAUUCAAACUAUUGCUAAGGCAAUCUAUUAAGUUUUAAAGUUUCUAUCCAAAAAAUGGUGGAAAGUUGAGACAUAUAUUCAAUUUAACAAUUAUAUAUAUAUAUUUAUAUUCCUCUGUUUUUUUUUUUGCAGCUAUGUUCUGGCUCAAAUUUAUU
rnacentral:misc_RNA from 1 species